UACGUAGGGUGCAAGCGUUGUCCGGAAUUACUGGGCGUAAAGAGCUCGUAGGUGGUUUGUCGCGUCGUUCGUGAAAACCGGGGGCUUAACCCUCGGCGUGCGGGCGAUACGGGCAGACUUGAGUACUGCAGGGGAGACUGGAAUUCCUGGUGUAGCGGUGGAAUGCGUAGAUAUCUGGAGGAACACCGGUGGCGAAGGCGGCAUCCUGGACCGGCAUUGACGCUGAGGCGCGAAAGCUAGGGGAGCAAACGGG
rnacentral:rRNA from 1 species